rnacentral:rRNA from 1 species
UGCAAGUCGAACGAGACCUUCGGGUCUAGUGGCGCACGGGUGCGUAACGCGUGGGAAUCUGCCCUUAGGUACGGAAUAACUCAGGGAAACUUGUGCUAAUACCGUAUGAUGUCGAGAGACCAAAGAUUUAUCGCCUAGGGAUGAGCCCGCGUAGGAUUAGCUAGUUGGUGGGGUAAAGGCCUACCAAGGCUACGAUCCUUAGCUGGUCUGAGAGGAUGAUCAGCCACACUGGGACUGAGGCACGGCCCAGACUCCUACGGGAGGCAGCAGUGGGGAAUAUUGGACAAUGGGCGAAAGCCUGAUCCAGCAAUGCCGCGUGAGUGAAGAAGGCCUUCGGGUUGUAAAGCUCUUUUACCCGGGAAGAUAAUGACUGUACCGGGAGAAUAAGCUCCGGCUAACUCCGUGCCAGCAGCCGCGGUAAUACGGAGGGAGCUAGCGUUGUUCGGAAUUACUGGGCGUAAAGCGUUCGUAGGCGGCUUUGUAAGUCAGAGGUGAAAGCCCACGACUCAAUCGUGGAACUGCCUUUGAGACUGCUUCGCUUGAAGAUGGGAGAGGUUAGUGGAAUUCCGAGUGUAGAGGUGAAAUUCGUAGAUAUUCGGAAGAACACCAGUGGCGAAGGCGGCUAACUGGACCAUUCUUGACGCUGAGGACGAAAGCGUGGGGAGCAAACAGGAUUAGAUACCCUGGUAGUCCACGCCGUAAACGAUGAAAACUAGCUGUCGGGGCUCUUAGAGCUUCGGUGGCCAGCUAACGCAUUAAGUUUUCCGCCUGGGGAUACGGCCCAAGGUUAAACUCAAAGGAAUUGACGGGG